rnacentral:rRNA from 1 species
GAUGAACGCUGGCGGCGUGCCUAAUACAUGCAAGUCGAGCGAAUGGAUUGAGAGCUUGCUCUUAUGAAGUUAGCGGCGGACGGGUGAGUAACACGUGGGUAACCUGCCCAUAAGACUGGGAUAACUCCGGGAAACCGGGGCCAAUACCGGAUAACAUUUUGAACCGCAUGGUUCGAAAUUGAAAGGCGGCUUCGGCUGUCACUUAUGGAUGGACCCGCGUCGCAUUAGCUAGUUGGUGAGGUAACGGCUCACCAAGGCAACGAUGCGUAGCCGACGUGAGAGGGUGAUCGGCCACACUGGGAAUGAGACACGGCCCAGACUCCUACGGAGGGCAGCAGUAGGGAAUCUUCCGCAAUGGACGAAAGUCUGACGGAGCAACGCCGCGUGAGUGAUGAAGGCUUUCGGGUCGUAAAACUCUGUUGUUAGGGAAGAACAAGUGCUAGUUGAAUAAGCUGGCACCUUGACGGUACCUAACCAGAAAGCCACGGCUAACUACGUGCCAGCAGCCGCAGUAA